AAGAUACCUGUGGGAUACCAUGGAUCUCUUGCCUCUUGAGUUUGUCGUAAUUGUGCCACGUGAUGUAAACUUUGCCCGAGGUUCAAAGUUGGCAUGCUCGCAGAUAUACCAUUGGGUGUACUUGUACUCAGACUGUUUGGUAUGCUUGCCGUGAAAUCCACAGUUGCUAGUCGAUGUCAUCAUCGGGCCGAGUACCAUCUUGGAAGCUGAGGAAUUAGUUUCGCCCAUACCAGAAGUCAUAGCAGGAUUAUGUCUAUACAUUGACGACGGUGUCAUACUUAAUGGCAGGAGGUAUUCGGAAGACGGAACCAUCGGCAUCGAGGAUAAUCUAGGCGCGUGAUCUGCGACUAGAAAUAUUAUAAGCGCAGGAUAAAAUGCACCGCAGAAAAGUUUUUAAGGCACCAUCAAAGCGACACGGUGCCAUCCUGGAACGAGUGAAGGAAAACAAAGUUGUCCCAUAGGAAUAAUACAUUAUUUUUGACCCCUCGAGGGUGGAUGUUAUACGCAAGUAUCAGAUUUAACUUGAUAAUUGGAAAUUAUUCCGCAAUAAUUAACGCGAUGCAAUCAAGUUAAAAUUCCGAGGGGACGAGUUUGUCUAACGCCUCAAUUAACAAAUUGUUUUAGUAGGAAAAAAUUUAAUAUCGGAUUGCCCACGAAACAAUUUGCGCAAGUUAAAAAAAAAA